rnacentral:rRNA from 1 species
UACGAAGGGGGCUAGCGUUGCUCGGAAUGACUGGGCGUAAAGGGCGCGUAGGCGGCGCAGUUAGUCAGGCGUGAAAUUCCUGGGCUCAACCUGGGGACUGCGCUUGAUACGGCUGUGCUUGAGGAUGGAAGAGGCUCGCGGAAUUCCCCAGUGUAGAGGUGAAAAUUCGUAGAUAUUGGGAAGAACACCAACGGCGAAAAGCACUCUGCUGGGCCGACACUGACACUGAGAGACGAAAGCUAGGGGGAGCGAAUGGG